rnacentral:lncRNA from 1 species
UGAAAACAUUGAUCCAAACAUACUGAGAUGCUGGCAGUUCAGGAAAAUCUUCAUUGAUAACUCCUUAAGAAAUUAACCUGCUGCCUUUCUCUGAUUGUGAUUUUGUGUACAAAAAGCUUAACCCUUAGGACAUUGACAUUUUACCAAAUGACCAAGCAAACAGUCAGAGCACAGCUGGAUUUCAGUCAGAAAGUCUCCUGGGCAAAGUCUCCUGGAGUUUUGAAGGUACCCACUAUUCUUUGA